GAGGAGAGAGAUGGAGUUUGUUGGCUGUGAAGAAGAAGGUGUCAGUGCUGUAAGGAGAUGCCCAUGAGACAUGACUGACAAGCAAGGAAAAGAUGCAACUCUAGAGUAUGCUUCUUUCCCACUAUUUGAAGACAAACUUGAAUUAUCAGUUUAAGUUGGUCCUGCUGUCAGAAGAAACAGUCUUGGAGUCUUCCCCCUUCUUCAUGUGUUCAUCAUGAAGUGUGAGAUGCACCAUGUGAUGAAAUUCUGGGGUCUGCAUUGGUGAAUCCCAUAGCAAAAGGAGGGGGAAAGGAGAAGGGAAAAGAAACAAACCCAACAUGACCUGAUGUCCUGGAAGUUGUGCUGAGCAGAUACUGAGGACCUAUGGGAGAUGAGUCUAUGGAAGAAAGAAACAGCAGAGUUGGAAUCAAAAACCAGCAAAUGGCUGCCAGUGUCUUUGUGGCUGUGACUGUUCCUGAAACAGCAGCAGCAAGAGUGGGAAUAUUUCCCAGGCAGUAAUCUAUAUAGUAAGAACUAGAAAAACUACUGUGCUGUUAUAUGCUGGGUCACCUCAGGUGGAAUUCCAGGGAGAUACUAGGGGCUUUCCCUUUGAGUGCCAUCCAACCUCUGCCAUGUACAACCCAAGACAGAUUUACACAUGUGAAAAAUAUAAGAUUGGAAGUACAAGUUUACUCCAGCUACAUUUGAACUUGUUGUGAAUCUUGCAAUCCAUGUCCUUUGCAUUUUUCUGUCCAUAAGUCCAUUAUCUGAACAGACUCUUAUGCUGUUAUGCUCACAACACUGUCAUAGAUAAUUAAAAAUCAUGGAAACUGUGAUAAAUGAA